CCUACGGGGGGCAGCAGUGAGGAAUAUUGGUCAAUGGGCGGAAGCCUGAACCAGCCAAGUAGCGUGCAGGAUGACGGCCCUACGGGUUGUAAACUGCUUUUAUACGGGAAUAACGUGCCUUACGUGUAGGGUUUUGCAUGUACCUUAUGAAUAAGGACCGGCUAAUUCCGUGCCAGCAGCCGCGGUAAUACGGAGGGUCCGGGCGUUAUCCGGAUUUAUUGGGUUUAAAGGGAGCGUAGCCGGUAUGUUAAGUCAGCUGUGAAAUGUCCCGGCUCAACCGUAGACGUGCAAGGGAGACUGGCCGUCUUGAGUGCAGGAGAGGGAGGCGGAAUUAGAGGUGUAGCGGGGAAAUGCGUAGAUAUGACGAAGAACCCCGAUUGCGAAGGCAGCUUGCUGCAGCGGAACUGACGCUGAUGCUCGAAAGCGCGGGUAUCGAACAGGAUUAGAUACCCCUGUAGUC
rnacentral:rRNA from 1 species